CCUACGGGGGGCAGCAGUGAGGAAUAUUGGUCAAUGGUCGGGAGACUGAACCAGCCAAGCCGCGUGAGGGAGGAAGGUACAGAGUAUCGUAAACCUCUUUUGUCAGGGAACAAAGACUGGGACGCGUCCCCGGAUGAGUGUACCUGAAGAAAAAGCAUCGGCUAACUCCGUGCCAGCAGCCGCGGUAAUACGGAGGAUGCGAGCGUUCUCCGGAUUUCAUGGGUUUAAAGGGUGCGCAGGCGGUCUGUUAAGUCAGCUGUCAAAGCCUGGGGCUCAACCCUGGCCCGGCGUUUGAAACGGGCAGCCUCGAGUUCGAGAGAAGUAGGCGGAAUGCGUGGUGUAGCGGUGAAAUGCAUAGAUAUCGCGAAGAACUCCGAUUGCGAAGGCAGCAUGC
rnacentral:rRNA from 1 species